rnacentral:misc_RNA from 1 species
AAGUCGUAACAAGGUUUCCGUAGGUGAACCUGCGGAAGGAUCAUUAUCGAAUCAACAGAGGGUUGUUGCUGGGUGUCAAAGACAUCAAGUGCACGCCUUCGUUCGUUCUCAAACCCCUGUGCACCUAUUGUAGGCUUGGUCUAGGGCUGACUUUGGUCAGUUUGAAGCCAGCCUAUGUUUUACACACGCUUCGGUUUAGAAUGUCAUUUGCGGAUAACGCAUCUUAUACAACUUUCAGCAACGGAUCUCUUGGCUCUC